GUCCACAGCCAUGCCACCCUGAACGAGCCUGAUCCCGUCUGAUCUCGGAAGCUAAGCAGGGUCAGAGCUGGUUAGUACUUGGAUGGGAGACCACCUAGAAAGACCAGGUGCUGUAGGCG
rnacentral:rRNA from 1 species